rnacentral:rRNA from 1 species
GACGAACGCUGGCGGCGUGCCUAAUACAUGCAAGUAGAACGCACAGUUUAUACCGUAGCUUGCUACACCAUAGACUGUGAGUUGCGAACGGGUGAGUAACGCGUAGGUAACCUGCCUGGUAGCGGGGGAUAACUAUUGGAAACGAUAGCUAAUACCGCAUAAUAUUGAUUAUUGCAUGAUAAUUGAUUGAAAGAUGCUAUUGCAUCACUACCAGAUGGACCUGCGUUGUAUUAGCUAGUAGGUGAGGUAACGGCUCACCUAGGCGACGAUACAUAGCCGACCUGAGAGGGUGAUCGGCCACACUGGGACUGAGACACGGCCCAGACUCCUACGGGAGGCAGCAGUAGGGAAUCUUCGGCAAUGGACGAAAGUCUGACCGAGCAACGCCGCGUGAGUGACGAAGGUUUUCGGAUCGUAAAGCUCUGUUGUAAGAGAAGAACGGGUGUGAGAGUGGAAAGUUCACACUGUGACGGUAUCUUACCAGAAAGGGACGGCUAACUACGUG